UACAAAAUUACAACACGUGGUGCUGUUUC
rnacentral:piRNA from 1 species